UCGUGAUAUGAAUUGUCGGCUUAAUUGCGUUAACGAACGAGACCUUUAGAGAUAAAUAGUGGUGUAGUGAAGGUGUCAAACAUUUAUAUAACCUUUAAAAGAAGGGCAUGUUCCCCUUUUGAAUGUCGUUUAUGUAAAUGAUCUUCACUAUUAUCAAUUAAUAUACUACGGUAUAUUAAUAAAUGCUUCUUAUUUCGACUAUUGAUGUUCAAUCAAUGUAAGUUAAAGGCAAUAUCA
rnacentral:rRNA from 1 species